rnacentral:lncRNA from 1 species
UCUACCUUGUCCUUUUCCUGAUAGUUAGGUGUUUACUGAGUCAGCAAAUAAAGGCACAUACUGUCCGCAGGGAAAAUUAACCAGGAAAUCCUUUACUGAAGUUCAGUUCCAAAUGAUUUCACUGUUGGAGCUGAUACUCUUUGGAUCCUCGUGUGGAUGUCAGGCCCCAGGCCAUGGUUGAAAUUCUAAAGGGUGAGGUCUAGAAAAUUCCUGAAUCAAAUGGGCCCAUGAGCGAAAAAAGAAGAAAAGAGGUAACCGAGGUCUGAGCUGGGCCCUCUGCUUCACCUGGAUCUAGAGAAAUGUCUGUCCUCACAGAAUAGUGAGAGCCACUGGCACAAGGGCACCUUAGAGUUGCUGGGAGAAGGGAAGGCUGGACAAACAGCUUUUGAAGACAGAUCAGUCCAUUGCCUAAGCAAGAAGCUCUCCUUCCCAACCGCCCUCAGGAUGCUUUGUUUGCUGUGAGAGGCAGACAGGUGCGUCCAGGUGAAGAAUAUGUCCGCAGGCCAUUAUGAGACUUGACAAUGUGACUGUCUUGGGUCAUUGGAAUGAGAGCCGAGGUGAAGCGUUUUAGUUCCCUACAGAAGCUUUAUGAGACACUGCAUGUUUGUACCACCUCUUGGUGUUUUUCCUCUACCACAAUAAAGACAUGUCCCAACGAAGAGCCCCUCCUUCAGCUUGAGUCCUGGAUGAGAAAACAUGUGGAUCAGAGUCCCAGAAGUCCACCUGCAGCCAACGACAUGAUGUGUAAAUGAGAAAUGUUUGUUGUUUAAGUCUCUGUGAUCUUGGAGUUUUUCUAAUAGUAGAAAAACUGAUUAAUUAGCUAGGAAGGUGAGUUUAUGGCUUUCAUCUUGGGGAGAUGUAGAAUCAUAAGGAGGGAAAUCCCUGAAACGUAGGAAGAUCAAUCCAAGUGCUGAGUGGCCACAAUAAAUGACAAAUGUCCACUAUAAACACAGACUCUACAUUCACAAAAUUUAGAAAACACAC